UACAGAGGUCCCAAGCGUUGUCCGGAAUCACUGGGCGUAAAGGGCGCGUAGGUGGUUUGAUAAGGGUGUGGUGAAAGUCCGGGGCUCAACCCCGGAUCUGCCGUGCCGACUGUCAAACUCGAGGACUGUAGAGGCAGACGGAAUUCCGGGUGUAGCGGUGGAAUGCGUAGAGAUCCGGAGGAAGACCGGUGGCGAAGGCGGUCUGCUGGGCAGUUUCUGACACUGAGGCGCGACAGCGUGGGGAGCAAACAGGG
rnacentral:rRNA from 1 species